rnacentral:rRNA from 1 species
UCGAGAAUUUUUCACAAUGGGCGCAAGCCUGAUGGAGCGACGCCGCGUGGGGGAUGGAGGGUUUCGAUCCGUAAACCCCUGUCAUUUGCGAACAAACCUUGAUUGUGAAUAGCGAUCGAGCUGAUUGUAGCGGAAGAGGAAGGGACGGCUAACUCUGUGCCAGCAGCCGCGGUAACACAGAGGUCCCAAGCGUUGUUCGGAUUCACUGGGCGUAAAGGGUGCGUAGGUGGUCGGUGAAGUUCGGUGUGAAAGCUCGGAGCUCAACUCCGAAACGGCAUCGAAAACUCAUCGGCUGGAGGGUCGGAGGGGAGACUGGAAUUCUCGGUGUAGCAGUGAAAUGCGUAGAUAUCGAGAGGAACACCAGUGGCGAAGGCGAGUCUCUGGACGACUCCUGACACUGAGGCACGAAAGCCAGGGGAGCAAACAG